CACAAUUACCGCGAGCAAACAUAUUAAUGACAAUGACGAGGAACGCAUUUUUGCUAUGCUACUAAUACUUGU
rnacentral:tRNA from 1 species